rnacentral:tRNA from 1 species
GGGGUCAUGGCGCAAUUGGCAGACGCAAAGAGCUCAAACCUCUUACAACUAUAGGUUCGAAUCCUAUUGGCCCUAC